CAUUUCUAGCAGUCCUCUCAAAAGAGAUGAUGGUGUUUCUGACCACGGCAUAGACCUUGGAGUACUGCAAGAAUCCAGGUUCUGGCAGUCAUGAAAUAACGAUGAACCUAAAAAUCGUCAUUAACAGAACCUUACCAGUAACCAAGUAAGUGAUAAAGUGGGUCUUACAUCACUACAGAUCAUGUGAUCUUCAGAUAUCUGAGUGAGUAUGGUUUCCCUAACAGAGUGUCACUUUGUGUUUUUUGCAAGUGCCCUGUUAGGUCCUUUCCUAGUAUACGGGUAUGAGAUUAUGUGGCGUUAACUCAAUAGAGAGCUGCUUGUUUUUCAUAUAUGCAAAUGAUGUUUUCAAUACCAUGUUAACUAUGUUUUUGGCACGUAUGCAGUUCAGAAAUUAAUUUGACCCAAAUAGUACUAGUAAGCAUGAGAUUUUAGCAUCUUCUUAUUCAGAGAUGAUGUGUUUUUAUACACCCAUAGUGGUAGAUAGGCAGAAAUCCAGGUAAUUUAUCAUACUGUCCAUCACCGCAUUAUUGACUGUGGGAUUUUUGCAGGUAUCCCUUCAAGAGAGGAAGGUGUCUCUUACUAGGGCUUAACCUCAGAUUUCUGCCGUUAUCCAGGUUCACGUGAAGACCUCCCUAUGAGCCGGUUAGUGGUAGUUAGUGGUAGUUAAUGAUGUGUGCAUAGCAGGUAUUGAGGUAAGUGAUAAUGUGGGCCUAACCCACAGUACAGAUCAUAUGACCUUCAUACAUGUAAAUAAGUGAUGAUGGUGUCCCUAACACUUGUGUUACCAUAUGUUUUUCCAGGUACCCUGUUCAGGUCUUUGAUAGUACAAAGGUAUGAGAUGAUAUAAUAUUAACUCAUCGAUGUUCUUAUUUUCAUCUAUGUAAUUGUUUUUAAGACUCCUCCUUCCCUUGUUUUUGGCAAGUAGAAGUUAAAUUAAUUUGACCCUGACCGUGGGGGACGGGAAGGGAGAAAACCUAGUUACACAGAGGGAGAGAGGCAAACUAUAAGAGACUCUUAA